rnacentral:rRNA from 1 species
GAGUUUGAUCAUGGCUCAGGAUGAACGCUGGCGGCGUGCCUAACACAUGCAAGUCGAACGGGGAUUAUAAACGGAAGUUUUCGGAUGGAAGUUUAUAAUCUUAGUGGCGGACGGGUGAGUAACGCGUGGGCAACCUGCCUCAUACAGGGGGACAACAGACGGAAACGUCUGCUAAGACCGCAUACGUCUUUUUGGUCGCAUGACUGAGAAGGGAAAAAAGCAAUCUGGUAUGAGAUGGGCCCGCGUCUGAUUAGCUAGUUGGUAAGGUAACGGCUUACCAAGGCGACGAUCAGUAGCCGGACUGAGAGGUCGGACGGCCACAUUGGGACUGAGACACGGCCCAAACUCCUACGGGAGGCAGCAGUGGGGGAUAUUGCACAAUGGAGGAAACUCUGAUGCAGCGACGCCGCGUGAGUGAAGAAGUAUUUCGGUAUGUAAAGCUCUAUCAGCAGGGAAGAUGAUGANCGUACCU